AUCCAGCUAACAAGUCCCUAAUAGGACGAAACGCGUGUCUUGGAU
rnacentral:hammerhead_ribozyme from 1 species